rnacentral:rRNA from 1 species
UACGUAGGGGGCAAGCGUUGUCCGGAAUUACUGGGCGUAAAGAGUUCGUAGGCGGUUUGUCGCGUCGUUUGUGAAAACCCGGGGCUCAACUUCGGGCUUGCAGGCGAUACGGGCAGACUUGAGUGUUUCAGGGGAGACUGGAAUUCCUGGUGUAGCGGUGAAAUGCGCAGAUAUCAGGAGGAACACCGGUGGCGAAGGCGGGUCUCUGGGAAACAACUGACGCUGAGGAACGAAAGCGUGGGUAGCAAACAGG